rnacentral:rRNA from 1 species
CAGCAGCCGCGGUAAUACCGGCGGCCCGAGUGGCGGUCACUUUUAUUGGGCUUAAAGCGUCCGUAGCCGGGUUGGGAAGUCCUCCGGGAAAUCUGGCCGCUUAACGGUCAGAAUGCCCGAGGAUACUCCCAGCCUAGGGGGCGGGCGAGGCCGAGGGUAUUCCCGGAGGAGGGGUGAAAUCCUAUAAUCCCGGGAGGACCACCUGUGGCGAAGGCGCUCGGCUGGAACGCGUCCGACGGUGAGGGACGAAGGCCAGGGGAGCAAACCGGAUUAGAUACCCGGGUAGUCCUGGCGGUAAACGAUGCGGACUUUGUGUCGGACAAGCUAUGAGCUUGUCCGGUGCCGGAGGGAAACCGUUAAGUCCGCCGCCUGGGGAGUACGGCCGCAAGGCUGAAACUUAAAGGAAUUGGCGGG